rnacentral:rRNA from 1 species
CUACGGAGGGGGUUAGCGUUGUUCGGAAUUACUGGGCGUAAAGCGCACGUAGGCGGAUUGGAAGGUUGGGGGUGAAAUCCCAGGGCUCAACCCUGGAACUGCCUCCAAAACUAACAGUCUAGAGUUCGAGAGAGGUGAGUGGAAUUCCAAGUGUAGAGGUGAAAUUCGUAGAUAUUUGGAGGAACACCAGUGGCGAAGGCGGCUCACUGGCUCGAUACUGACGCUGAGGUGCGAAAGCGUGGGGAGCAAACAGGAUUAGAUACCCUAGUAGUCC